rnacentral:tRNA from 1 species
GGGCAGAUGACCGAAUGGUAAUGGUGGUUCUCUGUAAAAGAAUUGGUCUUUUGACCAAGAUAGGUUCGAUUCCUUUUCUGCUCA